rnacentral:sRNA from 1 species
CCCGCCACGGAUGGCGGUGGUUCUCUCAGCAGUAGCGAUAUUUUGGCUUUGCCAAAAUUCGCGUUCAAAAAUUGACAAGGAGGUCAAUUUUUGAACUUGC